GACGAACGCUGGCGGCGUGCUUAACACAUGCAAGUCGAACGGAAAGGCCUCUUUCGGGGGGUACUCGAGUGGCGAACGGGUGAGUAACACGUGAGUAACCUGCCCUUGACUUUGGGAUAACUUCAGGAAACUGGGGCUAAUACCGGAUAGGAGCUCCUGCUGCAUGGUGGGGGUUGGAAAGUUUCGGCGGUUGGGGAUGGACUCGCGGCGUAUCAGCUUGUUGGUGGGGUGGUGGCUUACCAAGGCUUUGACGGGUAGCCGGCCUGAGAGGGUGAGCGGCCACAUUGGGACUGAGGUACGGCCCAGGCUCCUACGGGAGGCAGCAGUGGGGAAUAUUGCACAAUGGGUGGAAGCCUGAUGCAGCAACGCCGUGUGCGGGAUGACGGCCUUCGGGUUGUAAACCGCUUUCGCUCAUGACGAAGCUUUGUGUGACGGUAGUGGGUAAAGAAGCACCGGCUAACUACGUG
rnacentral:rRNA from 1 species